UGGGGUAUAGCUCAGUAGUAGAGAGUAUGCCUAGAAAGUACAAAGCCAUGGGUUUGAUUCCCAGAAUCCCUC
rnacentral:tRNA from 1 species